rnacentral:rRNA from 1 species
UGGGGAAUAUUGCACAAUGGGCGCAAGCCUGAUGCAGCAACGCCGCGUGAACGAUGAAGGUCUUCGGAUCGUAAAGUUCUGUUGCAGGGGAAGAUAAUGACGGUACCCUGUGAGGAAGCCCCGGCUAACUACGUGCCAGCAGCCGCGGUAAUACGUAGGGGGCUAGCGUUGUCCGGAAUCACUGGGCGUAAAGGGUUCGCAGGCGGAAUAACAAGUCAGAUGUGAAAGGCAUGGGCUCAACCCAUGUAAGCAUUUGAAACUGUAAUUCUUGAGAAGUGGAGAGGUAAGUGGAAUUCCUAGUGUAGCGGUGAAAUGCGUAGAUAUUAGGAGGAAUACCUGUGGCGAAGGCGACUUACUGGACACAAAUCUGACGCUGAGGAACGAAAGCGUGGGUAGCAAACAGG